rnacentral:rRNA from 1 species
AUCAGCAGUCAUACCACCUGCAGGUCACACUAGGUAAUAGACCUGAAGCUAAACAGCUUUGGGCCUGGCCAACACUUUGAUGGGAGACCAACUAGGAAAUCUAGGUUGCUGCUGGAA